UUUAGUCAUACUUAUCAUACUAAAAAUGCACAGCAAAUUUUUCACAUCACACCACAAGACUUUAGUCAAGAGAACUAAGAAAAAUACUCAUAAUUGUAACUCAAAAACCAAAGAAAAAAACAUGCAAUUUUUUUUUAAGAAAGCAAAUAAAAACCAAAACAGAGAAAAAACAAAGAAAAUAAAACAAAUAAAUGGUUCCCUCCCCCACACUUAAAACAUACGUUGUCCUCAAUGAAAGAGCAUAAAUAUAAAAUAAGAGUGAGAGAAA
rnacentral:lncRNA from 1 species